rnacentral:rRNA from 1 species
GACGAACGCUGGCGGCGUGCCUAAUACAUGCAAGUAGAACGCUGAAGGAGGAGCUUGCUUCUCCGGAUGAGUUGCGAACGGGUGAGUAACGCGUAGGUAACCUGCCUGGUAGCGGGGGAUAACUAUUGGAAACGAUAGCUAAUACCGCAUAAGAGUAGAUGUCGCAUGACAUUUGCUUAAAAGGUGCAACUGCACCACUACCAGAUGGACCUGCGUUGUAUUAGCUAGUUGGUGAGGUAACGGUUCACCAAGGCAACGAUACAUAGCCGACCUGAGAGGGUGAUCGGCCACACUGGGACUGAGACACGGCCCAGACUCCUACGGGAGGCAGCAGUAGGGAAUCUUCGGCAAUGGACGGAAGUCUGACCGAGCAACGCCGCGUGAGUGAAGAAGGUUUUCGGAUCGUAAAGCUCUGUUGUAAGAGAAGAACGAGUGUGAGAGUGGAAAGUUCACACUGUGACGGUAUCUUACCAGAAAGGGACGGCUAACUACGUG